UCGGGAAAUUUGUCAGAGCCCGGAGGAUGAAAGAUCAGAGAGGCCAAGCAUCGAUCGACUAGUUGUUUGGCGUUGAGCAAUAUUAUAAACAGACCAGCAUGCCAACAUGUUGCCUUUAUCUGCAUUUGCACCUGCACCUUACUUGUUUCUUUCUUUUGUUUUUGACUCCAAAACCAAAAGUAAGUUUGAAACAUUAAAACAAGCUUGAGGUGCAGGUGCAGGUGCAGGUGAAUGCCAUGUUGGUGUUUUGACACUUGUCGUACUGCCUCUUUACUUUCCUUAAUUAAUUUGGUCCCUGUGUGGUAACUCGCAGCUUCAAGCUGUCACAAAUGUACGGGCUUUUUUAUAUCUUCAAGGGAAGGGUUAGAGAACUCGUGUGCUAUAAUCCAAGAGAACAAAUGGGUUUUUCAACAGCGACCGAGUCUGACCAUUAACUUCUUUAUGUAGGUGGCUGGUGUUUAUAGAGGUGAUGAUGAUGAAGACAUCGUGCAGCCACAAAUCCAUGGUUGCGGAAGACUAUUUUAAGGGUUUUUUGAGAGAUCUUUGGUGUACAUGGAGGACGGAUCCAUGAAUAUGCAAGCUGGUGCCUGUCCUAGAUAUAUAGUUCUCGAUCUUCCACUUGGGCGCUAGGGUUUUCAAGCUUUGGACCAGCGGAAUAGUAGAGACACUCCUCACUAUGCACGUGAAUAGUGGAGAUUGUGCACAGUAAAAGAGAGGAAAAUGAGGUUGUUGUUGCUUGGUAGCUGCUUUUUCUAACUUUUGUUAAAUUAUAGGUUUGGCCACAAGUAUUGAUGGUCCCAUCAAAAUAAAAAAGGGUUUGAAAUAUAGUGAAACAUAAAAAUACUACGACUUGCUUUAAUCUCAUGUGCAGCCACAUUACCAAUCGACACCAAAAUUAAACACCUUGAAAGGAGGGCAAGGUGCACAAAGGAGGGCAAGGUGCACAUAGUAGUCAACAAUGGUGAGCGUUAAUGAUUUGAAUAUUGUUUGUAAAUAAAAAAAGAAAAAGUAUUAGACAAAUUAUGGUACUUAAUUAGGUGAAUUACGCCCAGAUUUUCAAAGAUACUAUAGAACUUUUGAAUUUUCUCUAGCAUUUAUCAUCACAUACAACUCAUAUAUACGGAAUAGCCUUCUUGCACACCCAAUUGCUCUUGCCGUCCUCUUUUCUUCCUUUAAUAUUUAACCUGAAGGAGCCGAGCCUUUUUGGGUUUUUGAUUUAUUUUUUAUUUGAUGACUUGAAGUGAGAAUUAUUUCAAUCAAAUGUAUCUUUAUCUUCUUUAACUAAAUUAAAGAAAUAAAAGCAAUUUACUUAUUUUUAGAUAAUAUAAAAAAUAAAUAGUCUCAUUAAUUUAAUCCAUUUGUUUUUAUAUUUUUUUAUAUUUUAAAAGCGUUUAUAAAAAAUUUAAAAUUUUUUUAUUUUUUUCUGUAUUUUAAAUUAAUUUUUAUUUUUUAUUUAUAGAUUAUUUUGAUAUGUUUAUAUCAAAAAUAAAUUUUAAAAAACAAAAAAAAUUAUUUUAAUAUAUUUUUAAAAACAAUCACAUCCUCCUCUUAAAGUAACAGUUUCUUGCCUCUGCAUGCAUUCAACCUUCUGAUAUAGAGUUAAAAUAUCCUUUAAUACAUAGAAGGCAGCUUUCUAUCUCUUAUAUUGCUCAUAUAAUUAAGUUUAUCUAAGCGAAGGUUUUUGUGUCUCUCGAUGUAUCUCAUAUAGCAAUCUAUAUAAAACAAAUACUAUUGGAAAGUAAGAUGAGGGGGCUAUAUGCUUCAUAUUUGUUUGCUAUAAAAAGAAAAUUCCAAAUACAA